GGGUGCAAUAGCAGGUACCUGUGAUUCCAGCUACUCAGGAGGCUGAGGCAGGAGAAUCUCUUGAGCCUAGGAGUUUGAGACCAGCCUAGGCAACAGAGCCAGACCCUCUCUCAA
rnacentral:sRNA from 1 species